UACGUAGGGGGCAAGCGUUGUCCGGAUUUAUUGGGCGUAAAGAGCGUGUAGGCGGCCAGGUAGGUCGGUUGUGAAAACUGGAGGCUCAACCUCCAGACGUCGACCGAAACCAUCUGGCUAGAGUCCGGAAGAGGAGACUGGAAUUCCUGGUGUAGCGGUGGAAUGCGCAGAUAUCAGGAGGAACACCGAUGGCGAAGGCAGGUCUCUGGGCCGCAACUGACGCUGAGGAGCGAAAGCCAGGGGAGCGAACGGG
rnacentral:rRNA from 1 species